CCGCUCGGCCGACCGGCUCCCUCGGUGCUCGCAAAUAUGAGCCACACAACAAUAAACAAACACCUACACCCUACUAGAUAGUUCAAAUACGUUUAUUGACACAAUAAAAUUCAUCUCAAAGGGAUAGAGUAGUUUAGGCUAUUUCCACCCGCUCACCGAUCAUUAGCUCUCUCGACCUUCCAGUAUUUACAACACGUUUGGGGUUAUCUUGAGAUGAUUUGACUGAUGAGUGUGAGUGAGCAUAAUACCAGCCUUGCACCCUGCUGACCCAAUAUCGAAACCCCUUAAUUCUCACCGAGUAUACUAUCAACACAUUAAACAAACAGUGUAAACAGGGGACCACACGAAGAUCAAGCAGCUCUUAUCAGCUUCCGGGGCAGGCAAAGCGGCGUCCGGUGUCUAUAAUAAGAGCUCCGCCGGAAUUGUUACGUAAAAAACUUCUGGGAAACCAGUGGUGGAGUGUGGUGGCGGGCCCGGGCAGCGUAGCAACUGUGGCCAGGGGAACAUCCCCGCCAGGGGCCCCGCACCGAGCAUCAUUAACUCCCUCUCUCCUUUUCUUCCCCUUCCGCCCCCCUGAAGGUCAUACAGAUGGGGCAAGGGGGUCUCCGAAGCCAAUGCUGAGCCAUUUGCAUAUGUCACGCCGCAGACAAUGGUUGCAAUAAGCCGCGGGGAGUAUUUGUAUACAGAGGUAGAGGCUGUCAAGCUGAGCGUCAGUAUUACACAACCUUGUCGUCCCGGGAACAUAGUGACGUCACCUUGUUGAUGACGUAAGGCCCGCGACGUCACGCCUGGCUCCGCCUCCCUCUACACCUUUGCCGUCUAUUGGCCGUUGGGGCGAGGGGGCGGGGCUUAUCGUGCCGGGAGGAGGAUAGUACUAUAUACAAACAUAUCUUCUGGGCAGUCAGUUCCUCGCCUAAACCUCUGGGUGAUACAACUUGUGCUGUGAUAGCUCACAGAAUACCCCUGUGGAACUUUGUCUUCAAAACGGAGCUCUUUAUUGAAGCUCUGUCUUCAUAAUAUUUUCUAUAGUUGAUGUGCUUCAACACCACAUUAUGGUGGCCGAGACUGUGAAGUCCUACCCCGUCAACUACCCGGCGCUCAUACCCCUGUCGCCCUCAGUGGCCGGCCUGGGGCCCUACAACCCCUGCCCCUCUGCCCUCCUUCACGCUAA
rnacentral:misc_RNA from 1 species